rnacentral:rRNA from 1 species
AGAGUUUGAUCCUGGCUCAGAACGAACGCUGGCGGCAGGCCUAACACAUGCAAGUCGAACGAGGUAGCAAUACCUAGUGGCGCACGGGUGAGUAACACGUGGGAACGUACCCUUAGGUACGGAAUAACAGCGGGAAACUGCUGCUAAUACCGUAUGAUGUCUUCGGACCAAAGAUUUAUCGCCUAAGGAUCGGCCCGCGUCUGAUUAGCUAGUUGGUGGGGUAAUGGCCUACCAAGGCUACGAUCAGUAGCUGGUCUGAGAGGACGACCAGCCACACUGGAACUGAGACACGGUCCAGACUCCUACGGGAGGCAGCAGUGGGGAAUAUUGGACAAUGGGGGAAACCCUGAUCCAGCCAUGCCGCGUGAGUGCUAAGGCCUUCGGGUUGUAAAACUCUUUAGCAGGGGAAGAUAAUGACGGUACCCUGAGAAUAAGCUCCGGCUAACUUCGUGCCAGCAGCCGCGGUAAUACGAAGGGAGCUAGCGUUGUUCGGAAUCACUGGGCGUAAAGAGCGCGUAGGCGGCUAUGUAAGUCAGAGGUGAAAUCCCAGGGCUCAACCCUGGAACUGCCUUUGAAACUACAUGGCUAGAGUUCGUGAGAGGGUGGUGGAAUUCCUAGUGUAGAGGUGAAAUUCGUAGAUAUUAGGAGGAACACCAGUGGCGAAGGCGGCCACCUGGCACGAUACUGACGCUGAGGUGCGAAAGCGUGGGGAGCAAACAGGAUUAGAUACCCUGGUAGUCCACGCUGUAAACGAUGAGUGCUAGAUGUCGGGUCCACUAGGAUUCGGUGCCGUAGCUAACGCGUUAAGCACUCCGCCUGGGGAGUACGGUCGCAAGAUUAAAACUCAAAGGAAUUGACGGGGACCCGCACAAGCGGUGGAGCAUGUGGUUUAAUUCGAGGCAACGCGAAGAACCUUACCAGCUCUUGACAUGUCCAGUUUGGUCGGCAGAGAUGCCUUCCUUCACCUCGGGUGGCUGGAACACAGAUGCUGCAUGGCUGUCGUCGGCUCGUGUCGUGAGAUGUUGGGUUAAGUCCCGCAACGAGCGCAACCCUCGCCCUUAGUUGCCAUCAUUAAGUUGGGAACUCUAAGGGAACCGCCGGUGUCAAGCCGGAGGAAGGUGGGGACGACGUCAAGUCAUCAUGGCUCUUACGGGCUGGGCUACACACGUGCUACAAUGGUGGUGACAAUGGGCAGCAACCUCGCAAGGGGAAGCUAAUCUCCAAAAGCCAUCUCAGUUCAGAUUGUCCUCUGCAACUCGAGGGCAUGAAGCUGGAAUCGCUAGUAAUCGUAGAUCAGCAUGCUACGGUGAAUACGUUCCCGGGUCUUGUACACACCGCCCGUCACACCAUGGGAGUUGGUUCUGCCUGAAGCCGGUGAGCUAACCGCAAGGAAGCAGCCGUCCACGGUAGGGUCAGCGACUGGGGUGAAGUCGUAACAAGGUA